CCUAAAAAUUUGGACCCAGGGUUAUUGGGCCUUAAUUGUGGCAGCCAGACCUUUAGCAAUUUGGGCUCAUGACCUUGGUAAGGGGGCUCUCCUAAAAAGAAAAAGCUGAAGUUCAUUUGCCAAUUCUCCUUUCUCUCUCUAAAACCCCUUUUCCCAAAUUCUUUUCUGCCUUCUCUCUAGCCUCCACACUGAUUUAGCCAUUGCAUGUUCUGUUAGGUGGUACCCUAGCGACCGUCUCGUAGAGAGCUUCAAAACCAUCCGAUUGGUUUUACGUUCUUCAGCCGGGCACUGCUUAAGUUCUUCCCGGGGUAGGAUACUGUUGAAAGUUGUGUUGUGUGCUAGACUGCUCAACUUUAAGAGGGAGAUGAGGCAUCUGUGGAGUAGGAGCUAGAGGGUGCCAAUGCUGUUGAGUAGCCUAGGAGCUUAUAGAUUUACCUACUUCUAUUCUUUUGAAAUACUCUACUCUUUUGUAAUUCAAGUUUUAAUUUCCUAGCUCUUUUGGAAGGAUAAAUGUAAUCCUAUUACCCUAAUCACUUGUCCUAACUGCUUUAUCGUAUUAUACUUGAU